rnacentral:tRNA from 1 species
UGCUUCGGUAGCUCAGUUGGUUAGAGCACUUGCCCGCGGAAGGCAAAGGUCCCGAGUUCGAGUCUCGGUCGGGCAC